AUGAAAGAAGAGACGCGCUGUGCUGUAUAAAAUAUUUUCUCCAGGUUUACUUUAUCUGAUCCAUUUCAUCAUUGUGUUUUCACAGCCUGAGCCCCCCCCCCCCACAACGAGGCAGUCACUGCACAUUUGGCCGAGACUCUAGCUGCAAGUCCGGAUUUGCAGUGUGGAAAAUGACGCUAUUGUCUCUGCCUGUACUAUGACGUACUAAGACGUACUAUGAGCCAGUCUGAAGGAACUUCCCGUACAUCCAACCGGACCUUGCAGCUCUUGCAGCAGCAUUGAGAAGUUCAGGAGUCGACAGAGAAGAAAGAAGCUGAUUGAAGCGGGACAGAUGACAUGGAUCCAUCCUUCCACAGCCAGGAGCUCACCAACCUGUGUGCCACAAGACUAGAAGCUACACUGAAUCUCACAGCUACACACCACAGAUGUCUACACACUGGGGCAGAUUCGGACAGAGUCCCACAAAGAACUUAUGACCCAUA